CACCGAGGCGCCACGGCGCAUGCGCGGCUCCCUUUUAUGAAUGGGGGGCUGGAGAGAGACUGGCUGCGAGCCGCGGAGGACGGCCAGCAGCCCUAAUGCUGUGAACACCCCCAGCUGCUGCAGCUCUGCCUGGUGGACGGUGCAGUAACGAGGAACCUUAACAACAGGAAGAAAAGGAGGAUCAAAGCCCGGGGAGGAUCCUUCAGCUGUUUGCUUUUCCUUUAUGCAGAAACUUUACCACGGCUGCCCUAAAAACCCCACCAAACACAGCUAAGAACCCCUCCUCAGGAAAGCAAAAUGACUUCCUACAGCCUAAAAUAAGGUGUUGGAUAUCUGCUGGCAUUUCUUCCCCUCUGCUGCAGCUGCCUUGGCAGAAGAAGAGCCUGGAGUGAUGGGGCUGUUGCGUGGCACAGUUUUGUUUUUCAGCACACCCGGUGCCUCGUGCUCCCCGGCUCCGAGGAUCAGCCCCGCUGCCGGCAUCAGCUGCAGCUCAUCGCUCACCCCGAACCCCGUCUGCCCGUUGUUCACCUUACAGCCACGUCAGUCCUCGCAGCCCCGACGUCCCUUCCCUGUGGCAGCGGAGCGGCGGGUCGCGCCGUGGCCGUGCUGGCGAUUAGCGAGCAGCCAAGGCUGAGAGCUCUGUCCCUGAAUGCGCAUUGUUCUCGCAGCUUCCAGCACCAGAGGGGAGAAUAGUUGAACUGUUUACAAUAUUGUUUCAUAGACUGCUAAAAAGUGGCUGUCUGUUUUUCAGAAGUGCAAUGAAACAUUUAUGAGUGUGGGAUUUCCUCCAGCCCCGCUGAGGUGCCAUCGCUGCCCAAUGCCCCGCGCUGCUGGCCGAGGGGCAGUGGGAUGAGCACAGCCACUGCUCCCAGCCGUUCCCUGGGGGGCUGUGCCAGGUGCCUGGUUUGCAGGCACAGAGCUGCGGCACCUGGCAGGACUGCUUCAGAGCUACAAAGCGCUCUUGCUGCCUCUACCUGUCAUAAUUCAUGUGAGCUGUCUUCCACGUGUGCAGGGAGGGCAGUGAGCCGCUGGCACUGCAGCCCACAGCUGUGCUGCCCCAUCCCCAGAGGUGCCCAAAACCAUGGAUGGGCCCUGGUCAGCCUGAGCUGGGGGGCAGCCAGCCCAUGGUGGGGGUGGUUGGAGGUGCUGCGAGGGCCCUUCCAACCUGGGAUGCAUCUGGAUGAUGCCUUCCAACCCAGGCCAUUCUAUGAUUCUGUCCUCUGCCUCCAUACGUUUACAGCUCCGUGUUGGUUAUUUCCAGGACCACAGGCUGUUCCUCACGUGGGAUUUGCAGCAGGUCCUUCCAAAAAGUGACAUGUUUUUUUCCCAUGAAAAGACUUCAACACAAGAUCGCUCUGUAGCUCAUUAAGGUCAUUACAAAUGUUUAUUUUUAGGCAGAUGGAUGUUCUAACCAGAAUUGUAAUCUGGUUGCAGCUAAGUGCAGGAACAAGUCAGAAUUUGGGUUUUACUGUAAUGGCUAUGAAUGUUUCACUGUGUCUUCAGCAUAAGGGAUCCCAUUGUGCAUAUUUCGGAUGUCUGCAGCUUUUACGUGGUUUCGUCUACAUUUCUCAGGAUUUAAUAUUUGAAGUUCCUUCUAGGGAUGUAUUAGAGGAAAAACUGGAUUUGAACUCCAGUCAGAAAGUUUUCACAUAUUCAGAAUUACACAGUGCUUAUAAAAGCAGUUCGCUUCUGUGGGGUAUGGUUAAUCCAUCUAUCUCCUGGCAUGGGGCACUCAUCCCAUUCCGCAGGGCUGGGACGGGAGCGGAGCCGUGGUUAGCGUCCUCCCAGCCACCCGGGGCCGUCCAGCCUAAGCCCUUCCUUCCUGCCCUGAGUGGAAUUAUCAUUAACUCGUAACUUGUUUUCAAGAAGAACUUUUUUUUUUUGUAGGCUGUGGAGUUCUUCCAAGAAUUUUUCAAUUUCUACAGAUGAAAAUACAGUCUGAACCAGAUGCCAGCUGAAACGCGCUCGCUUCAUACCACCUCGCCAAGGCAGCGCGCCAUGGGCUCAGCAAUAUGACCUUUAAAAUAGCCUUUCUAGAACACACUGCUAAGAGCACUUUCGAAAAAGCCACAAUUGCAGCUACUCUUAUUACUCAUAAUGUCCUUGAUGGAGAGAAUACUUAAGGAACUUCAGCUUCAGCGACCCGGUAGAGCCAGCUCUGUGCAGCGCAGGCUUCCUUUGUGGGAUUGCAGAUUGGAGACCACGAUGAGAGUGUUGAUGAUAAUGAACAUUUCCUAAAUCAUUACUUGUAUAAGAGUAAAACCAAAUAAAAGCAGUGAAGCCUUUGCUUCGCCUUGCCCAUGUGAAUGAAUGGCUCUGUCAUUCAGCCAUUUGUUUCCAGAAGCGGCUCUGUACCUCCGUGCUUUCUCCAUGUGUUUACGAAACUAACAAACAUUAUACACACAGUCAUGCAAAAUGCAUUCAGCGUAUUUCAAAUCAAUGAAUAUUUUGAGUCAUCAGCCUAAAUGCUUUGUAGAUGCAUAACUACACACUACUUUCUGGGAUUUUUGAAGUACUCCGAGUUGUGCUGAGCUACCACUUCUUUAAAGCUGUCACAUCCAAUUCCUUGGGGUUUUUUUUGCAUGUGCCAGGAAAUUUGGACUCUUAUAUGGCCAUCACUGCCAUGCACUGCAGCACUGUGUGGCACUGCAUGGUCCUGGUGGGCACAGGGAGCAGAAUAAGAUGAAAUGCAGUUUGCUUUGAUCAGUUCAGGAGAGAUUUCACACCAGCAGUGAUGCGGUACUUUAGAGUUGGCUGAGGGGAGUUUUCCUAUCAUUUCUGAUCUUUCUGUCCUUAAACUGAUUUCACUAAAUAUGUGACAUUUUGAGGAACGUGCCCUGUGUCUUUAACUUCUUUCAAGCUAGACAGGGUGGAAACAAGAUAAGUUUGCCUUAAAAGCCUUUGUUCUCGCUCACUUCUCCUUUGGUGAUCCAACACAUUGGUAUUCAGAUUUGGCACCUCACAGGGUCCUGGUUCUGCCAGAGCUCCUGGUUCUGACUGCCAGCAGCAGGAU